UACGGAGGGAGCUAGCGUUGUUCGGAAUUACUGGGCGUAAAGCGCACGUAGGCGGCGAUUCAAGUCAAAGGUGAAAUCCCUCGGCUCAACUGAGGAACUGCCUUUGAAACUGUACGGCUUGAGGCCGGGAGGGGGUAGCGGAAUUCCCAGUGUAGCGGUGAAAUGCGUAGAUACUGGGAGGAACACCAGUGGCGAAGGCGGCUACCUGGACCGGUUCUGACGCUGAGGUUCGAAAGCUCGGGGAGCAAACAGG
rnacentral:rRNA from 1 species